rnacentral:rRNA from 1 species
ACUAGUGAUUUCCGUAGGUGAACCUGCGGAAGGAUCAUUCGCAUUUGAUUCAAUUUUAUUAAUGUGAACUGUUCUGUGCUUUGGUGUGUGCGUUUUUGACGCAUGUACUCAAGCGUAUGCAGUGGGAUGCUUUUUCAUCUCACUGCUAUUCCCAUGCUUAAUUGUUUGCAUUCGUUGUCUUGGCAUUUGUCACUAUGCUCACAACUUUCAGCGAUGGAUGUCUUGGCUCGAACACCGAUGAAGGGCGCAGCGAAGUGCGAUAAGCAUUCUGAAUUGCAGAAUUCCGUGAACGAACAGGAACUUGAACGCGUAUUGUGCUUUUGGGAUAUCCCUGAAAGCAUGCCUGCUUCAGUGUCUGUGUUUGCUUAUUCCAGCGAAUAGUUAUUUUGCCAUUUGCUGUGAGUACUUGUGUCUCAUGAUGUGCAUGUGUUUUAUGAUGCGUUCAUGAGAUAUCUAAAGAGGAUGCGCUGAUCAUCAACUUUUCUGACAGGGAUUGUGAGGUUUUUUGAUGAAGCAGCUGUGUCUUUAUUGUGUUGAAUUAUUCAACUGUACGACAUGAAGUUAGGUUGGUGUACCCGCUGAAUUUAAGCAUAUCAAUAAGCGGAG